ACGUUUGCGUCAGGACGGAAGCGUGAAAGGGGAGGCAUGGGGGAGAAGCUAAUUUCAACUGCGUCACAAUCGAAUUAGACCUCAAAAUUGCGUUUUUUCUUGGCCAGUCACUACGACUCUUAGAUCGCAUUGUUAAAGUUUGCCUUUUAAGCAAUUUUGAAGGCGAUUUUUAUCGGGAUCCUCUCAGUGCGCAUGCGCCCUUAGGUUUCUACCAAUCCUGGGUGAGAAAUAUUCUCCAGGGCGGAAGUGGCGAAAGCAGAGGAAAGGGAGGUGCUAGGCUCUCUGGUCACGCGCACGCGACAGGGAGGCAGGAAGGAGGCGGAAGAGAGUGCCAGGGAAAGGGGCGGAGCAAAGGUGAAGUGAGAGUAGCCAAUCAGUUGGCGAGUUGUCAUUUGGGUUGACCAAUGAGUUCACGCCUCGCGUAUAAUGUCUCGCGACAAGGGCGUUUCACUAGCACGUUUGGGCGCGUUGGGCGGCGUCCGGGUAUAAAAGACUCCACCCGAGCGGGCGGCCGCCAUUCUGGGGUUCGUUUAGAGGUUUGAAUUUUCUCGGAGAAAGACAGGCCGGCCACGAGGAAAACAGAAACAAGCCGCAGCAACAUCUAAGCCCUUGAAAGGAUCCUGAGAGAGGGGGGAAAGGGAAAACAGCAGCCACCAGCCCAACCACUUGUGUCUUCUGCCCCUUCCCACCUAUCUUGCCCACCCCACCAGCCCACGCUGCUUGGGACUUGAAAUCUGUGGCCGAAGGACCGUCACUACAUAACUUCAAAAAUAAUCAACCACCCUCCCUUCCCAAACCACCCAAAUUCACUCAUCCAGCGUUUACUUUUUUGAAUCCACUCAGAACUUUUUUCUGCGACCCCCCUCCCUAAAUGGAGUUGGGUGGGGGGGGAAAUGAAUACUGAGUUGGCCUUUAUUUUUUAAAAGACUUUUUGAUCCAAUGAGGCCCCCUAAAUAAUUGAGUUUUGGGUCCUGGUUGGUUGUUUUAUUUUUUUUCCUCCAAAAUUUUACCCCCUCCCCCCUGAGCCCGAGGUGCUGACGUCGCAAAAAAAUUGGAUAAAACCACCAUCAUGGGUUCGGGUCCCAUAGACCCCAAAGAACUUCUCAAGGGCCUGGACAGCUUCCUUAACCGAGAUGGGGAAGUCAAAAGUGUGGAUGGGAUUUCCAAGAUCUUCAGUUUGAUGAAGGAAGCACGAAAGAUGGUGAGUCGAUGCACUUACUUGAACAUUCUCCUGCAGACCCGUUCACCAGAAAUAUUGGUCAAAUUUAUUGACGUUGGCGGCUACAAACUUCUUAACAAUUGGCUGACGUAUUCAAAGACAACCAACAACAUUCCCCUCCUCCAGCAAAUUCUACUGACCCUGCAGCAUCUACCGCUCACUGUAGACCAUCUCAAGCAGAACAACACAGCUAAACUGGUGAAGCAGCUGAGCAAGUCAAGUGAGGAUGAAGAGCUCCGGAAAUUGGCCUCAGUCCUUGUCAGCGACUGGAUGGCUGUCAUCCGCUCUCAGAGCAGUACCCAGCCUGCUGAGAAAGAUAAGAAGAAACGUAAAGAUGAAGGAAAAAGUCGAACUACCCUUCCUGAGCGACCUUUGACAGAGGUGAAGGCUGAGACCCGGGCUGAGGAGGCCCCAGAGAAGAAGAGGGAGAAGCCCAAGUCUCUUCGCACCACAGCACCCAGUCAUGCCAAGUUCCGUUCCACUGGACUAGAGCUGGAGACACCAUCCUUGGUGCCUGUGAAGAAGAAUGCCAGCACAGUGGUGGUUUCUGACAAGUACAACCUUAAACCCAUCCCCCUCAAACGUCAGAGCAACGUAGCUGCUCCAGGAGAUGCUACUCCCCCUGCAGAGAAGAAAUACAAGCCACUCAACACAACACCUAAUGCCACCAAAGAGAUCAAAGUGAAGAUCAUCCCACCACAGCCUAUGGAGGGCCUGGGCUUUCUGGAUGCUCUCAAUUCAGCCCCUGUUCCAGGCAUCAAAAUUAAGAAGAAGAAAAAAGUACUGUCACCUACGGCUGCCAAGCCAAGCCCCUUUGAAGGGAAAACGAGCACAGAACCAAGCACAGCCAAACCUUCUUCCCCAGAACCAGCACCACCUUCUGAGGCAAUGGAAGCAGACCGUCCAGGCACCCCGGUUCCCCCUGUUGAAGUCCCGGAGCUCAUGGAUACAGCCUCUUUGGAGCCAGGAGCUCUGGAUGCCAAGCCAGUGGAGAGUCCUGGAGAUCCUAACCAACUGACCCGGAAAGGCAGGAAGAGGAAAAGUGUGACAUGGCCUGAGGAAGGCAAACUGAGAGAAUAUUUCUAUUUUGAAUUGGAUGAAACUGAACGAGUAAAUGUGAAUAAGAUCAAGGACUUUGGCGAGGCGGCUAAGCGAGAGAUACUAUCAGACCGACAUGCAUUUGAGACAGCGCGGCGUCUGAGCCAUGAUAACAUGGAGGAGAAGGUGCCCUGGGUGUGCCCCCGGCCCCUGGUUCUGCCCUCACCUCUUGUCACCCCUGGAAGCAAUAGUCAGGAGCGAUAUAUCCAGGCUGAGCGGGAGAAGGGAAUCCUUCAGGAGCUCUUCCUGAACAAGGAGAGUCCUCAUGAGCCUGAUCCUGAGCCCUACGAGCCCAUACCCCCUAAACUCAUCCCCCUAGAUGAGGAGUGUUCCAUGGAUGAGACUCCGUAUGUUGAGACUCUGGAACCUGGGGGGUCAGGUGGCUCACCUGACGGGGCAGGAGGCUCCAAGUUGCCUCCAGUUCUGGCCAAUCUUAUGGGAAGCAUGGGUGCUGGAAAGGGCCCCCAAGGCCCUGGAGCAGGAGGCAUUAAUGUCCAAGAGAUCCUCACCUCCAUCAUGGGUAGCCCAAACAGUCAUCCUUCAGAGGAACUACUGAAACAACCAGACUAUUCGGACAAGAUCAAGCAGAUGCUGGGUAAUCUUCAGGGCCAGCCCCAGGGGACUGGGGGAGGAAGCCUGCAGUGGAGUUGGGGGAAGCAGGGUUUCAAAGAUGCAGAAGAAUACAGGGCUGUGGCCACUAGGCAAGAAAUGGGAGGGGAAGACCGGACAGAGAGAGCAUUGCUCUGCCAGUGCCACAUGGACUCCUAGGCCCUGGCCCAAUAGCCAAUGGUUUCCCACCAGGGGGUCCUGGGGGCCCCAAGGGCAUGCAGCACUUUCCCCCUGGACCUGGGGGACCUAUGCCAGGUCCCCAUGGAGGCCCUGGUGGGCCAGUGGGUCCACGUCUUCUGGGUCCUCCACCCCCUCCCCGGGGAGGUGAUCCCUUCUGGGAUGGCCCGGGCGACCCUAUGCGGGGUGGCCCAAUGCGGGGGGGUCCAGGACCAGGUCCUGGACCAUACCAUAGAGGCCGAGGUGGCCGAGGAGGAAACGAACCUCCUCCUCCUCCUCCUCCAUUCCGAGGCGCCAGAGGAGGUCGCUCUGGAGGAGGACCCCCAAAUGGACGAGGGGGCCCUGGUGGGGGCAUGGUUGGAGGUGGUGGGCAUCGUCCUCACGAAGGCCCUGGUGGGGGCAUGGGCAACAACAGUGGACAUCGUCCCCACGAAGGCCCUGGCGGUGGCAUGGGAAGUGGGCAUCGCCCCCAUGAAGGCCCUGCUGGUAGCAUGGGUGGGGGUGGAGGACAUCGUCCCCACGAAGGCCCUGGCGGUGGCAUCAGUGGUGGCAGUGGCCAUCGUCCCCAUGAAGGCCCUGGCGGAGGAAUGGGUGCCGGUGGUGGACAUCGCCCCCAUGAAGGCCCUGGCGGAAGCAUGGGUGGAAGUGGUGGACAUCGUCCCCAUGAAGGCCCUGGACACGGGGGGCCCCAUGGUCACCGGCCUCAUGAUGUCCCUGGUCACCGAGGCCAUGACCAUCGAGGGCCACCACCUCAUGAGCACCGUGGCCAUGAUGGUCCUGGCCACGGGGGAGGGGGCCACCGAGGGCACGAUGGAGGCCACAGCCAUGGAGGAGACAUGUCAAACCGCCCUGUCUGCCGACAUUUCAUGAUGAAGGGCAACUGCCGCUAUGAGAACAACUGUGCCUUCUACCACCCGGGUGUCAAUGGGCCCCCCCUGCCCUAGGGACCAUUUGCCUGCCCUGUUCACACAACCCCUGUGGACUGCAGCCUCGCUCCUUCCACCCUGUUAUGGCUUCUGUGAGGCCCAUUUUCCCUUUUCCCCAGCUGAUGAGGAGCCGGCCCCCUCAGUUCCCACUUGCUUGGGUUCCUGGGGGUUUUCUGAUCACUGGUGCGCAUUGAUGUACAUAUUCUCCUCCAGUCUGGGGAGGAGAGAGACUGGAAAUGUUCCUGGACUGCUGAAGAGGAGACCCAGUUGGCUUCACUUUUUGAGAAGAUUCGCCCUGUACCCCAAACCCCUUUCCAGUAUUACCCUUAAUGCUUGAGAACCUAAAGCUGAUUAUCCUGGAGAACACCCCUACCCUUCUAUUGCGGGUCCCCACAUGCACACAGAACUCUGACACAGGAUCAGCUGCACUUAAGAAAUCAUCCCAGCUAAGUUCAUUAUUUCUCAUGGGGUGGGGAGAUGCUGAAAGGGGUAUUGUAUAUCCCACUGCACUGAGAGGGCUCAAUCAGCUGGAUUUGAGUUCUGGAACACACAUCAUCCCCACUCCUCCCCCAGCGUGGGCUCACCAUUCUUAGUCCUUUCUCAAGUGGGACCUUCAACUUUCUGUGAACACCCAGUCUGCGUCCUGGGUCUGCUAGGUUCGAUGAUGGCGAACUCAUAUCUGCAUCCAGUGCAAGUUUCAGCUGGCAGAGGUGAGACCGGUGGUGCUGGUCUGCCUUUGCCAACUAUAGCCAGUCUGGAGACUUGAUAAAAUACUUCAGUGAGACCAGCUUCUCAUCAACUUGGGCCCGGCAUGCUGGGCCUGAAAGUCACACUACAUGCACUGCCUUUGGGAGUCAGCUCACUCCCUGCUCCCACCUGGAACCUUGCCAGCGUGAAGGAGGCUUCCAGCUACUUCACCCUGUCAACCACCUCUGAAUCCCCACCAGGCGCCUUCCUGGGUGGAUUCAACAAGAUGAUUUUGCCCUUUCCCAGUUCUCUCCUUCACCUUGGCAUCAGUUGUUUUCUAUGAAAACAGUGGAUUGGUUGGGUUUUGUGCAGGGUCUUGGGUUAGAGCCAAAAUGGAUUUGAGGAUGAGUAUUUUUUUUUUUUUUGGUUUUGUAUAUUUUGUACAUUAAUAAUAAACAGUGGAAAGAGAAGCAGCUUAUUUAA